GACCUACUCCCUUCGUUUGGAAUUACUUGUCUUGAAAAUGGAUGUAUCUAGAAUUAUACGUCUAGAUACAUUCAUUUUCGCAACAAGUAAUUUCGAACGGAGGGAGUAGCUG
rnacentral:pre_miRNA from 1 species